rnacentral:lncRNA from 1 species
AUUACUUUGAAGGUUUGGAUUUACUGUUUGCUGAUAUGAACAUGAUCUCAUCGAUUAAACAAUUAACUCCAUCAGAAACUGUAAUAAUGCGUGAAGAACACAUAAAACCAACAUUUCCUUUCGAAAAGGAUGCGGAGAAUAAGAUUGAAAUUGCUGAAAUGCAACCUGUUUGGCAAUUUGAUAAAGAGGACAGUAUCCGGAAAGUCUGCCUUGCUUCUGCCUCACAUGAAGAGGAUCCUGAUAGUCGCCCAGUAACAUCACAGAGAAGAUCUGGUAUGAGCAUAUGGGAAAGAAGGGGUAAAUCUGCUUCUGUUCAUAUUGAAACUGGCAGAGAUAGAGAAGAUUGCAUAGAGGCCAAUGCUGAUCUAAUGAUACAAUUGGAGAACAACGAGAAUAUCAGAAAUGGAUCACCUUCACAAGAUUUGUUUACUGCUGCAGAUUGGUCUGAAGAAAUUUUUACUUCAGAUAAAGAGAAUCACACUCCCGAUAUCCUAUUAAAUAGGCCAUUAAAGGCGAUGGACCUGGGUAAAGUGAAACACCAAUUUAGUGUGGAUUCUCUGCUUUCUUCUUUGGAUGAUCAUGUGGAAGAAGCUUUUACACCAGAUAAAGAGAACAUGACUCCUAAAACUCAUCUAUUUAAGUCCAUGAAAAGAUUGGGAAAGUUGGAAGAGAUUAACCAUUUAAAAUCAUAUAGAUCAUGUCCUUUGAAAAAUGCUGGUUCAAUUAAACAUGAACGUCUAGACAUGCUUGUACUUUCAGAUGAUCGGAAUCAAGUCAGCAAUUUACUUCGAGAAAAGAAAUCAGCAAAUCCUGCCCCUAGAAGUCUAGCUAGGUCAAAGGCAGCUAUCUUGAAGGUUAGGGAAGAUAGGGUGCCCUUUCAGUCUUUUCUGGUGAACUCAAGUAAAACCAAAUCUGAAGCUUCAGACCCAGCCGGAAGAAUAGGAAGCUCUACAUCUGGGAAGAAUCCACAAAUGACAGAGGCAACUCAUUCCUUUCUAGUAAGUUUUGAUUGGCUCUUUGCCUAUUGUUCUUUCAAGUCAAUGUAUUAAGGUGUCUAACAGUUAUUGUUAGACUGUGUUAUAACAUGUUUUCAACAGAAUGCAGUCAAAAACUAUUGUGAUAAGGAAAAAUAUCAGUUAAUCUCUUUGAAUCACAAUGACAUGUAAUUUAUGGUUCAGACUUGCAUAUUUUAAUGCAUAUUUGCUCUCCAUUUUUUUGAGGAUGAAUGAAUUUCUGCCUCGGCACUUCAACAAUACUCACAAACGUGUGUAAUAAAUUGCAGAACUCUUCUGAAGAAAAUAGGACUUGGACCAUGGUUGUGGACACUGCUUGUUUGCUAGACAAAGAGUCAAGGAAGGCAUUGCAGCUAAUGCAAGGUCUCCAAGGAACUAGUUUAAUCAUCCCCAGAACUGGUAAAAAUUUUUCUCAAUCCUCAAAAAUUUUCUCAUUUAUUUUUAUCAAUCAAUUAUGUUCUUUAUCCCUCUCUGAUUAUUUAUUAAUGAAUCCUUGUGAAUUUCAGUCAUAAGGGAACUAGACAGCAUGAAGAGGCAUAGUACCUUGUUUAAAAGAACAGCAGGGGCUGACUCAGCAUUACAGUGGAUUGAAGAAUCUAUGGUGAAAGCAAAAUGGUGGAUUCAUGUGCAGAGUUCGCUGGAAGAUGCGAGACCAAUUGCACCAACCCCUCGUUCUAUUCCUUUAUCUGAAUCAAAUGAAGAAAAGGAGAAAUUUUCAAUUGGCUCCAUCCCAUAUGCUCCUUUUGGUAGUUUACUGGAUAUAGUUUCACCAACAAC